GAAAACCACCCCGAUGAGGGGAGUGAAACAGUACCUGAAACCGGAUGCUUACAAGCUGAGGGAGCUCUUCGGAGUGACCUCGUACCUUUUGUAUAAUGGGUCAACGACUUAGUGUUGUAUGCAAGCUUAAACCGUUAGGUGUAGGCGCAGCGAAAGCGAGUCUGAAUAGGGCGACCGAGUAUGCAGCAUUAGACCCGAAGGCAAGUGAUCUAGGUAUGGGCAGGGUGAAGGUGCAGUAACAUGCACUGGAGGUCCGAACCCACUGAUGUUGAAAAAUCACGGGAUGACUUGUGCCUAGGGGUGAAAGGCCAAUCAAACUCGGAGAUAGCUGGUUCUCUGCGAAAUCUAUUUAGGUAGAGCGUCAUCCGAAUACCCCGGGGGGUAGAGCACUGGAUGGGUAAUGGGGCCCCACAGGCUUACUGAUCCUAACCAAACUCCGAAUACCCGGGAGUACUAGAUGGCAGACACACUGCGGAUGCUAACGUCCGUCGUGGAGAGGGAAACAACCCUGACCUACAGCUAAGGCCCCCAAUUCAUGGCUAAGUGGGAAAGCAGGUGGGACGACCAAAACAACCAGGAUGUUGGCUUAGAAGCAGCCAUCAUUUAAAGAAAGCGUAAUAGCUCACUGGUCGAGUCGGCCUGCGCGGAAGAUGUAACGGGGCUAAACCAUGCACCGAAGCUGCGGCAGCGACGCUUAUGCGUUGUUGGGUAGGGGAGCGUUCUGUAAGCCUGCGAAGGUGUGCUGUGAGGCAUGCUGGAGGUAUCAGAAGUGCGAAUGCUGACAUAAGUAACGAUAAAGCGGGUGAAAAGCCCGCUCGCCGGAAGACCAAGGGUUCCUGUCCAACGUUAAUCGGGGCAGGGUGAGUCGACCCCUAAGGCGAGGCCGAAAGGCGUAGUCGAUGGGAAACAGGUUAAUAUUCCUGUACUUGGUGUUACUGCGAAGGGGGGACGGAGAAGGCUAUGUUGGCCGGGCGACGGUUGUCCCGGUUUAAGCGUGUAGGCUGGUUUUCCAGGCAAAUCCGGAAAAUCAAGGCUGAGGCGUGAUGACGAGGCACUACGGUGCUGAAGCAACAAAUGCCCUGCUUCCAGGAAAAGCCUCUAAGCAUCAGGUAACAUCAAAUCGUACCCCAAACCGACACAGGUGGCCAG
rnacentral:rRNA from 1 species